AUUGAACGCUGGCGGCGUGCUUAACACAUGCAAGUCGAGCGGUAACAGGCGUAGCAAUACGUGCUGACGAGCGGCGAACGGGUGCGUAAUACAUGGGAAUCUGCCCUUUAGUGGGGAAUAACCCGGCGAAAGCCGGGCUAAUGCCGCAUAAGAUCUUCGGAUGAAAGCGGGGGAUCGUAAGACCUCGCGCUGAUGGAUGAGCCCAUGUCGGAUUAGCUAGUUGGUGAGGUAAUGGCUCACCAAGGCGACGAUCCGUAGCUGGUCUGAGAGGACGGCCAGCCACACUGGGACUGAGACACGGCCCAGACUCCUACGGGAGGCAGCAGUGGGGAAUAUUGGACAAUGGGGGAAACCCUGAUCCAGCGACGCCGCGUGUGUGAAGAAGGCCUGCGGGUUGUAAAGCACUUUCGGUGGGAACGAAAUGUGCCGGGCUAAUACCCCGGCAAGCUGACGUUACUCAAUGAAGAAGCACCGGCUAACUCUGUGCCAGCAGCCGCCGUAAGAC
rnacentral:rRNA from 1 species